rnacentral:rRNA from 1 species
CCUAGGGAGGCAGCAGUGAGGAAUAUUGGUCAAUGGGCGCGAGCCUGAACCAGCCAAGUCGCGUGAGGGAAGACGGUCCUAUGGAUUGUAAACCUCUUUUGUCGGGGAGCAAAAGACGCCACGCGUGGCGUUCCGAGAGUACCCGAAGAAAAAGCAUCGGCUAACUCCGUGCCAGCAGCCGCGGUAAUACGGAGGAUGCGAGCGUUAUCCGGAUUUAUUGGGUUUAAAGGGUGCGUAGGCGGACGCUUAAGUCAGCGGUAAAAUUGCGGGGCUCAACCUCGUCGAGCCGUUGAAACUGGGUGCCUUGAGUGGGCGAGAGGUACGCGGAAUGCGUGGUGUAGCGGUGAAAUGCAUAGAUAUCACGCAGAACCCCGAUUGCGAAGGCAGUCUGCCAAGCCAUGACUGACGCUGAUGCACGAAAGCGUGGGGAUCAAACAGGAUUAGAUACCCGAGUAGUC